rnacentral:rRNA from 1 species
AGCAGCCGCGGUAAUUCCAGCUCCAAUAGCGUAUAUUAAAGUUGUUGCAGUUAAAAAGCUCGUAGUUGAAUUUCGGGGUUAGUACGCUGGUCGUGCCUUUGGUACGUACUGGUGUUACUGAUUCCUACCUUCUGAAGAACCGUCAUGUCAUUAAUUUGGUGUGGCGGGGAAUCAGGACUGUUACUUUGAAAAAUUAGAGUGUUUAAAGCAGGCUCGCGCUUGAAUACAUUAGCAUGGAAUAAUGAAAUAGGACGUUUGAUCUUAUUUUGUUGGUUUCUAGGAUUGACGUAAUGAUUAAUAGGGAUAGUUGAGGGCAUUAGUAUUCAAUUGUCAGAGGUGAAAUUCUUGGAUUUUAUGAAGACUAACUACUGCGAAAGCAUUUGCCAAGGAUGUUUUCAUU